AUUGCGUCUUGCUUUCUGAUUGGUUUAAAAACCUCUCAGAAGCCAACACAGCUGGCAAGAGGACAACAAAUAUGCCGCGGAAACUGAGAUCCACAAGCUCUGGUGACAAACCAUCAGUUGUCAGGAAGCAUGAUGACCCCACAAGUACAUCUCAAGAGGCUGGUGGUGCACCAUCAUCAAGAAGCUACAGUAGUGAACCAGGCCCAUCUACAUCUCGACAAACUGAUGCUGCACGUUUAAGAAGAGGUGGGGCAUUGCAUUUUAUAAUGUAU